AGGUGCUGAUAUCAUGCAAGCAUUGUCUAGGGAUGAUGACAAGAAUAGGUCUGUGGGGGCAGGAGGGGUCAACGCGAUCGGCGUUGUGCAGUUCCGGCCCAAAGGGUGAAUGGAGCUGUUAUGUGUCAGUCAUACACCAGCAGUAACGAUGAAAGAAAACCCGUGUGGUGGGGCAGACACAGCAGUGGGAGGCCCAGCCCAGCCUGCGCCCUGCAGUUGGCCCACACCCAGGAUGUGCACACAGAAGGGGCUGCAGUUUCAAGGUCAGCAGCGCAGCUUUCAAGAGUCAAUUCCAGCCAGUGUGGGAGUCUGAGGCAGGAGGACAGCUUGAGCUCAGACGUUCAAGACGGGCCUGGGUGACGGAGUGAGAGCUUGUUUAAAAAAAAAAGAAAGAAAAAGUCCAUCCCUUUCCAGAGACAGGCGGAGCCGCGGAGUCACCGUGGGUGUGGAUAUCAGAAGUGGCCUUCGGUCCCAGCUCUGCCCCUCCACCGGGCCCUGGGGCUGACAAGGUGACUCCUCCGUGCCUCAGUUUCUCUGCUGGAAGACAUCGGGAGCAGCCCUGCCUUCUUCAAAGCUGGCUGUGAGGAUGGACUGCCAAGUCCCUGUCCCACAGGAGAGUGGGCUCCUGUCUGAGGACAGUGACAGUCCCCCUGCACCGUGGACACCCCACUACGUGACGCCAGCAAGCCCCUCCACCCUGCAGCUUCCCUCCACAGAGGAGGCACCUGGGAGGCCGUCUUUGGGGGAAGACGACACACCUUCUCGGAGAGGUGGGAGACAGAGGCAACAACGCCAACAAGGGCUUCUUCUGACCCCGGCCUCACACCCAGGCGGUGGGAGUCACGGCCCGAAGCACCAACAGGACUUUUGA
rnacentral:lncRNA from 1 species